rnacentral:rRNA from 1 species
CCUACGGGUGGCAGCAGUGCGGAAUAUUGGUCAAUGGACGAGAGUCUGAACCAGCCAAGUAGCGUGAAGGAUGACUGCCCUACGGGUUGUAAACUUCUUUUAUAAAGGAAUAAAACGAGGCACGUGUGCCUUUUUGUAUGUACUUUAUGAAUAAGGAUCGGCUAACUCCGUGCCAGCCGCCGCGGUAAUACGGAGGAUCCGAGCGUUAUCCGGAUUUAUUGGGUUUAAAGGGAGCGUAGAUGGGUUGUUAAGUCAGUGGUGAAAGUUUGCGGAUCAACCGUAAAAUUGCAAUUGAUACUGGCAGUCUUGAGUACAGUUGAGGUAGGCGGAAUGCGUGGUGUAGCGGUGAAAUGCUUAGAUAUCACGAAGAACCCCGAUUGCGAAGGCAGCUUACUAAACUGUGACUGACAUUGAUGCUCGAAAGUGUGGGUAUCAAACAGGAUUAGAUACCCGAGUAGUC